ACAAGAACACUGAUUUUUCCCUUUCUGUUAAAUUACCCUAUAAUAUUCGCUUUCCCCGAAUCUAUGUUAAUGGCACGGGUUUCUUCCAAAUUUAAUGUUAUGAUAUAAAUUCCAACUCCGCAAAUGUGUCUUCCACUGAUAGAGCUGAAAAGGUCUUCGAAAUUCUGUACUUCGUUGAACGCAAUUCGCCUAAAGAUCUCUGAAAUUCGGGGAACAAGAUCAUUUGGAGAAGAGGAAGCUUUAUUGGGUUGGUUUGUUUUAAUUUUCUCUCCAUGAUGAAGUUUAUUUUAUUGGGUUUGUUUGUAAUUCUGGGGUUUUUUUUGAAUUUUUUUCUCGUGGGAUUAUCUUGGUUGAUAUUUGGGAUUUACGUUUUAUGUUUGAGCUGAUUCAAUUACCUGACAGUUUUUUAAAAUAGAUGAAAAUGUUUGAGUUAUAAUGUCUGUUUUUGGGAUUUAGAAUUGCAUGAGAGGAUGGAAGCAAUUGGUGAUCUCAUUCAACUACAUUCGCCUAAUGUUUUAUGUUUAUAAGAGGUUACACAAGAAAUGUCCCAGAUAUUCCAACAGUACACCUGGUGGUGGGAAGCAUAUCGAUGUUCGGCUUCAUACGAUUUUGAGAAUGUCAGACCUUAUUUAUGUAUGCAGUAGUAUAUGAUUCACAUAUGUUUCGCCCAUUUUCUCAUUUUUUCGAUAUUGCAUUGAAUGACUUUCAUUUUUAUUUCUCGAUUGACUUGUUAUACUUGUUUAACUUGGAAGUUGAGUAAAUUAGUAGUAAAAUCUUAUACAGCUGCAAACCCUUCAGCAGCUCUAAAAUUUGGUAAGUACACUCUUUAGAAAGCCUUAGUAAUCUUGAACUGAUUAUAGUGGUUAUCGACCGGCGCAGGAAUCUUUCAUCAAACAGUUGUAAAGAUAUCUGGUCCUACACCUUCUUCGAUUGGUGACUUGGAACAUCUCCUUACACUAAAUUUAAGCAAGAACCAUUUAGCUGAAGGGAUUCCUUCAGAGUUUGGAAAUCCAGUAGUGUGCUGGAGACAAUAUGCAUCACAUUUGGUGGCAGGUCAUGUUCCUUUUCAUAAGAGAUGGAGCUUUUGCUGUUUCAUGGCUGCUGGGAACCUUUUUAAUGAUAUAUGUGAUUCCUCCAGUCCUUCGUGGCCCAAGGAGUUUGGAAACGACUACAUAUCUUCUAUCAUGUUGUGGUUCCAAUAACUCGCGUCAGUUUAAUGUCAUUUCGCCCUACAACACUAUGGUACACAUCGGGUUGGAAUUUUUUCGUGUUGGUAUGGCUAAUAAGCAUCAACGCUCUAGGUCUAUACAACAUAAUCCACUGGAAUCCACAAGUUUAUCAGGCUCUUUCACCCUAUUACAUGUAAAAAUCUCAGAAUUAUAUGUAAUACAUUUCCUACAAUCCGUAGUCUCUGAAGUCCGAACUAUACUCGUUGUGGCCUUAAUAUUAUAGAGCAUCUCUCAUGUUCAAA